GAUGAACGCUGGCGGCGUGCCUAAUACAUGCAAGUCGAGCGAACAGACGAGGAGCUUGCUCCUCUGACGUUAGCGGCGGACGGGUGAGUAACACGUGGAUAACCUACCUAUAAGACUGGGAUAACUUCGGGAAACCGGAGCUAAUACCGGAUAACAUGUUGAACCGCAGGGUUCAACAGUGAAAGACGGUCUUGCUGUCACUUAUAGAUGGAUCCGCGCCUCAUUAGCUAGUUGGUAAGGUAACGGCUUACCAAGGCAACGAUGCGUAGCCGACCUGAGAGGGUGAUCGGCCACACUGGAACUGAGACACGGUCCAGACUCCUACGGGAGGCAGCAGUAGGGAAUCUUCCGCAAUGGGCGAAAGCCUGACGGAGCAACGCCGCGUGAGUGAAGAAGGUCUUCGGAUCGUAAAACUCUGUUAUUAGGGAAGAACAAAUGUGUAAGUAACUAUGCACGUCUUGACGGUACCUAAUCAGAAAGCCACGGCUAACUACGUG
rnacentral:rRNA from 1 species